ensembl:lncRNA
GUGAGCUGGGCAGGCGGGAGGGCGGGCGUCUGGGACGGAGGCGGGAGCCGUUACUCACCAGAUCACGUCUAGUAAGCAUCUCCCAUCCUCAUCAUCCAUCGCCACUGCCGGGUGGGGCCAGGAAGAGGGCGAGGGAGACAAGGUUAGAUGGUGGCAGUGUGCCCGGCCCACCCUUCAGGGAGCUCCCGGAAGUGGUGGGGCUUCUGUGCCCUUGAGUCCGACAGAGGCUCCUGACCAGACACAGCUCCCUGCCCUCCUGUCCUCACCCGAGCUCCCAGCCCCUGACGAGGACAGUGCAGCCAAAGCAGGAGAGCCUGCCGCACACAGCUCUCAGGCACAGCUCUCAGGGGGCCACAUGGGGCCUCAGAGAGUCCCAGGAGGCGCCAGCCACCCGGCUCUGCAGGUGAGGAGCGGGAGGCACUGAAGCGGCUUCUCUCCGUCUCCCAGCGAGCAGGUGGCCGUGGCCUGGAAGCCACGCUCUUCACCACCUGGCCACCCCACUCCUCGCACGCAGGGCCUAGCCCAGAGCCCACGUGCAGGGGUCUGUCCUUCAGGUGACAGGGUGACGGGCAGCAGAAAGGGCCAAGGGUGCGAGGUCCCGGGUCCCCCCCAGCCCUGGGCAGUGUGGCUCUCAAGGAAGGGAGCCUGCAAACUGAGGCAGAAGCGAGGGGAGGGUCCACAGGGUGGGUGCUGUCAGGGGCCGCCGGGCGGCGCGCCGUCAGAAUGAUGAGGAUGAGGAGGGCUAACAUUUGUUGAACGCCUGACCCAGCCAGCACAGUCUGAGCGCGUCACAAAUGUUAGCGAGUUCGAUCCGGGGGAGGGAUACUGUUCGCCCCGUUUCACUCCCGAGGUGACUGGUGCUGCCUGGGUCUGUCCAUUGGCCCCACCCCACCCACCUCCCAAGGACCCCACAUCCACCACCCAACUGCCCCAGGCACCUGCUGUCCUGUGUGACAUCCCGCUCCCUCCAUCCUUCCAAGCCUCCACCCACCCAUGUCCUUCCUUUCUAGACCUCCCCAUCCACGCACGCACGGUGAGGCAGUCAUGUCCGAGAGGUCGGGCGUGCGGACCAGGUGGGGCACCUCUCACACACAGGCACGCAGCUCUGUGGGGGCCCUCACCGGAAAGCGCUCUGAUUGCACCUGGCAGUGACCUCCUCAUCACCACCCGACCUCUGCGAAAGGCGGUCUCAGGCGGGCCCGGAGGCGGACGUGGGGCUUCUCCCCUGUGCGCCGGGGCAGCUGACCCCGCUCAGACACACCCACCCAGGACGUGUUACACGCCCGCUCCCACACUCCCCUCCCACCACAAGGCGCAGACAGGACACGCCGUACAGUAGAAGACACGUCGCCGUUAAUCCCCCUCGCCUGGAACACAUGGAUCCAUCGUUCUUGCCACAGUCGUGAAGCAGCUCUGCGGGCCUCUUUCAUGUCUUUACCACGUGUGGUCCCAACUGGGGUGAAUGCUGCCACCGAGUGCCACCCGGCGGAAAGGCAGGCGCAUGACAACACGACGCUGUGUCAUCUACCUCAUGCUCUCAAGCUGCCACCAGGUGACUUCCGGCUCGUCCCCAAACUCAAAAUGACAUGAAAGGGAAACGUUCUGAAUUGGUUCAGGACAGUGAGGCUGCCGUGGCAAGUGCAACCCACGACACUCAGGAAAGAAGACUCCAGAACGGCUGCAGAAAGCGACACGAAUGGUGGGACAAAUGUGGUCGAAGCAGGGGAUUAAAAUGGUGCCUAAAACAAGAAGCAUGCACUGUAGUUUCGGUUCACACCUCAUACUGCUGAUUUGCUCACUGAGCUCACAGCUCACUGUCACUGUCCCCGAGGC